rnacentral:rRNA from 1 species
GACGAACGCUGGCGGCGUGCCUAAUACAUGCAAGUCGAACGCUGAAGGAGGAGCUUGCUUCUCUGGAGGAGUUGCGAACGGGUGAGUAACGCGUAGGUAACCUGCCUGGUAGCGGGGGAUAACUAUUGGAAACGAUAGCUAAUACCGCAUAACAGUAGAUAUCGCAUGAUAUCUACGGGAAAGGUGCAAUUGCAUCAAUACCAGAUGGACCUGCGUUGUAUUAGCUAGUUGGGGAGGUAACGGCUCACCAAGGCGACGAUACAUAGCCGACCUGAGAGGGUGAUCGGCCACACUGGGACUGAGACACGGCCCAGACUCCUACGGGAGGCAGCAGUAGGGAAUCUUCGGCAAUGGACGGCAGUCUGACCGAGCAACGCCGCGUGAGUGAAGAAGGUUUUCGGAUCGUAAAGCUCUGUUGUAAGAGAAGAACGAGUGUGAGAGUGGAAAGUUCACACUGUGACGGUAUCUUACCAGAAAGGGACGGCUAACUACGUG